AUCACCAUGGUGACUGGCGUGGGAGGGGCUUGACUAGGAGAGCCAGCAGGGCAAGAACUAUCACUCCUCUCCCACCCUCAGACUCACUUGCCGGUGACCAAGUCUGGCUCACAACAUCAGACAUUUCUUUCCUUUAGGAGGAUUUAGAUUUUAGAGGUCCUAAUUCAUACAAUAGAAUCUGGCAGUGGUAAACUUAACCAUAUGGGGAAUGGAUCAGAAGAGUAUGAAGUAACCCAGCAAAAGGCUGGCAUCUUGCAAAGGUGGAUGGAGCCAAGACUCUUCUGAGAUUUCAUAAGAUACCUCACAGAAAGCCACUCUACGCUGAGAGGGAUGAAACGAAGGUCAGCCUCUAUGCUGGUUUCCCAGAGUGUCAAGUAUCUUCCAGCACCUUGAAAGGUGAUUUUCUAAAAGCAGAUCAAACAGUUUUGACAUUUGCUACGGAGCCAUUUAAAGUUCUACUACAGGCUCACCAUUGGCCACGGCAGCUCAACUGGCCGCAGAUAAAGGUUGAAGCAGCACGUCUCGCCACAGACAUGAGGAGCCGGCUCGUGGGAGCCGCAUCCCGGAGAGAAACACAGUCCACAAAAGUUAAUCUGCUGCUUUGUCUUGGCCGACAAUUUAUUCUUUCAUGAAAGCCAGCCCAUAAUCCCCAAUUGAAUUCUGCACACACAUUUUUUUAAUUUGCUGGAAUUUGCAAAAACACAUCAGUGGCUCUGCAGCCUUUGGAUUUU